GAUGAACGCUAGCUACAGGCUUAACACAUGCAAGUCGAGGGACCGGCGCACGGGUGAGUAACACGUAUCCAACCUGCCCUUUACUCGGGGAUAGCCUUUCGAAAGAAAGAUUAAUACCCGAUAUAAAGGAUGGGGAUGCGUUCCAUUAGGUUGUUGGUGAGGUAACGGCUCACCAAGCCUUCGAUGGAUAGGGGUUCUGAGAGGAAGGUCCCCCAAAUUGGAACUGAGACCCGGUCCAAACCCCUAACGGAAGAAGCAGUGAGGAAUAAUGGGCAAUGGGCGCUAGCCUUAAACCGCCAAGUAGCGUGAAGGAUGAAGGCUUAUGGGUCGUAAACUUUCUUUAUAUAAGAAAAUGUAUUAUAUGAAUAAGGAUCGGCUAACUCCGUGCCAGCAGCCGCGGUAAUUC
rnacentral:rRNA from 1 species